CCUACGGGUGACAGCAGUGAGGAAUAUUGGUCAAUGGGCGGAAGCCUGAACCAGCCAAGUCGCGUGAGGGAGUAAGGCCCUACGGGUCGUAAACCUCUUUUGCCGGGGAGCAGUACCCAGCUCUUGAGCUGGGACGGAGCGUACCCGGAGAAAAAGCAUCGGCUAACUCCGUGCCAGCAGCCGCGGUAAUACGGAGGAUGCGAGCGUUAUCCGUAUUUAUUGGGUUAAAGGGGUGCGUGGGCGGGCCUUCAGGCCGGCGGUAAAAUUGCGGGGCUCAACCCCGCCGAGCCGUGGAAACUGGGCGCCUUGAGUACAGGAGAGGUACGCGGAAUGCGUGGUGUAGCGGUGAAAUGCAUAGAUAUCACGCAGAACCCCGAUUGCGAAGGCAGCGUACCGGCCGGUCACUGACGCUGAGGCACGAAAGCGCGGGUAUCGAACAGGAUUAGAUACCCUUGUAGUC
rnacentral:rRNA from 1 species